GACGAACGCUGGCGGCGUGCUUAACACAUGCAAGUCGAACGGAAAGGCCCUGCUUUUGUGGGGUGCUCGAGUGGCGAACGGGUGAGUAACACGUGAGUAACCUGCCCUUGACUUUGGGAUAACUUCAGGAAACUGGGGCUAAUACCGGAUAGGAGCUCCUGCUGCAUGGUGGGGGUUGGAAAGUUUCGGCGGUUGGGGAUGGACUCGCGGCUUAUCAGCUUGUUGGUGGGGUAGUGGCUUACCAAGGCUUUGACGGGUAGCCGGCCUGAGAGGGUGACCGGCCACAUUGGGACUGAGAUACGGCCCAGACGCCUACGGGAGGCAGCAGUGGGGAAUAUUGCACAAUGGGCGGAAGCCGGAGGCAGCAACGCCGCGUGCGGGAUGACGGCCUUCGGGUUGUAAACCGCUUUCGCCUGUGACGAAGCGUGAGGGACGGUAAUGGGUAAAGAAGCACCGGCUAACUACGG
rnacentral:rRNA from 1 species